AGUGAACGCCGGCGGUAGGCCUAACACAUGCAAGUCGAACGGCAGCACAGUAAGAGCUUGCUCUUACGGGUGGCGAGUGGCGGACGGGUGAGGAAUACAUCGGAAUCUACUUUUUCGUGGGGGAUAACGUAGGGAAACUUACGCUAAUACCGCAUACGACCUACGGGUGAAAGCAGGGGAUCUUCGGACCUUGCGCGAUUGAAUGAGCCGAUGUCGGAUUAGCUAGUUGGCGGGGUAAAGGCCCACCAAGGCGACGAUCCGUAGCUGGUCUGAGAGGAUGAUCAGCCACACUGGAACUGAGCCACGGUCCAGACUCCUACGGGAGGCAGCAGUGGGGAAUAUUGGACAAUGGGCGCAAGCCUGAUCCAGCCAUACCGCGUGGGUGAAGAAGGCCUUCGGGUUGUAAAGCCCUUUUGUUGGGAAAGAAAAGCAGCAGGUUAAUACCCCGCUGUUCUGACGGUACCCAAAGAAUAAGCACCGGCUAACUUCGUG
rnacentral:rRNA from 1 species